rnacentral:tRNA from 1 species
GCUAACGUAGUUUAAUAAAAAAUUUGUAAUUUGUAAUUAUAAGAAUGUGUUAGUU